GGCCUCAGCGACCUAUGGCAAAGUCCUUUCCCACCCCCUAACGGAGGCUCUGGGAGAGAGAGGAUGCAGGACCAGGACCCGAGGAGAAGAAGCCUGCGUCUGGACCUGGGUGGGACGGAUUCAGGCGCGCAGCAACAACAGGGUGCCUGGCACAAGGAGAUACUCAGUAAAACUCUCAUCUGCUGUGUCAUUAAGGGGAACACUUAAUGGCUCACGCCUGUAAUCCCAGCACUUUGGGAGGCCGAGGCGGGAGGAUCAUCUGAGCCCAGGAGUUGGAGACCAGCUUGGGCAACAGAGUGAGACCCUGUCUCAACAAAGAAGAAGAAGAAAAAGGCCAGGCGCCGUGGCUUAUGUCUGUAAUCCCAGCACUUUGGGAGGCCAAGAAGGGAGAACUGCUUGAGGCCAGGAGUUCGAGACCAGCCUGGUCAACAUAGCGAGACACACCCCCCCAUCUCAAAAAUAAAUAAAUCAAAAUAAAAAAUAAAGAGGAGGCCGGG